rnacentral:rRNA from 1 species
GACGAACGCUGGCGGCGUGCCUAAUACAUGCAAGUCGAGCGCAGGAAAUCGACGGAACCCUUCGGGGGGAAGUCGACGGAAUGAGCGGCGGACGGGUGAGUAACACGUAAAGAACCUGCCCUCAGGUCUGGGAUAACCACGAGAAAUCGGGGCUAAUACCGGAUGGGUCAUCGGACCGCAUGGUCCGAGGAUGAAAGGCGCUUCGGCGUCGCCUGGGGAUGGCUUUGCGGUGCAUUGGCUAGGUGGUGGGGUAAUGGCCCACCAAGGCGACGGUGCAGAGCCGGCCUGAGAGGGUGAGCGGCCACACUGGGACUGAGACACGGCCCAGACUCCUACGGGAGGCAGCAGUAGGGAAUCUUCCACAAUGGACGAAAGUCUGAUGGAGCAACGCCGCGUGAACGAUGAAGGCCUUCGGGUCGUAAAGUUCUGUUGUAAGGGAAGAACAAGUGCCGCAGGCAAUGGCGGCACCUUGACGGUACCUUGCGAGAAAGCCACGGCUAACUACGUGCCAGCCGCCGCAGUAA